CCUACGGGAGGCAGCAGUGGGGAAUAUUGGGCAAUGGGCGCACGCCUGACCCAGCAACGCCGCGUGAAGGAAGAAGGCUUUCGGGUUGUAAACUUCUUUUGUCAGGGAAGAGUAGAAGACGGUACCUGACGAAUAAGCCACGGCUAACUACGUGCCAGCAGCCGCGGUAAUACGUAGGUGGCAAGCGUUGUCCGGAUUUACUGGGUGUAAAGGGCGUGUAGCCGGGUUGACAAGUCAGAUGUGAAAUCCUGCGGCGUAACCGCAGAACUGCAUUUGAAACUGUUGAUCUUGAGUACUGGAGAGGUAGACGGAAUUCCUAGUGUAGCGGUGAAAGGCGUAGAUAUUAGGAGGAACACCAGUGGCGAAGGCGGUCUGCUGGACAGCAACUGACGGUGAGGCGCGAAAGCGUGGGGAGCAAACAGGAUUAGAUACCCCUGUAGUC
rnacentral:rRNA from 1 species